UAAAGCUUCUGUUUCUACAUAGCAGGAACUAUCCUGAUGCUGUUGGUGUCAAACCUUCUUCUUUGGGAGAUCAUGGUCUCUGCCUCCAUAGAUGCCAGUGCAUUUGGCAAUGGCAAUGUGUUUCUCAAAGACAUUUUUGAUGAUGCCAUCAUAAUGUCCAAGAGCAUCAGUGACCUUCCCACAGAAUUUGGCAGACUAUUUGUAAUCACUUAUUGAACUUCACGUAACCCUGUUUCUAUUUUAACAUUCGCACAUUUAAAUUACUCAGACAACAAGAGCUCCUAGUCAAGACUUUCAACAGCUGCCAACAUUUUUUCUUAACACCCCAGAAACAAAAGAGAAAGCCAAAAAGAUUUCACUAGAAGACUUUCUGAAAGUGACACUCAGUAUAUUGAAUGCCUUGGACAACCUUCUGCAUCACUUACUGAAGGAAUUCAGUGUUUCACCGGGAUGACGGUAUUCUAUCCGGAGUUGCAGAUAUUGAUGUAAAAA
rnacentral:lncRNA from 1 species